GUCCCUAAUCCUAUCACACAGAGGUAAUCACUAUGAAUAUUUUUCCUUUCAAUAUGAUAUAUACACAUAGUUGAAAAGUUAUUUUUAUGGGGCUAAAUUUCAAAGCACUGAAGUUAAAAACGUCAGCUGACCUGAAUUUACGUGUUUGUAAUCGUGAAGAAACUCAAGAAAAGAUGCCAAAAUAAACUGUUUUCUUUGCUGGAAUCUGGAACAUUAAGGUUCAUGAUUUAUCAUUAAAAGAGAGAGAGAAGAGGGAAGGGAACGGUUACACCAAUUUUUAAACACCUAACAAAUGAAAACAUGUUGUUGCAAAAACAGUCACCAUAAAAAUGCACCAAAAUCCCCUACAUUUAUUCAACAUACAGUGAGUGUGAGGACCACCAGAAUGUGCUCUAGGAGAAAUGGUUGAAAGGCCAGUGAUAUUAGAAGAAUUUGGGGGGCAGAAAUGACAGUCCAAAGGCAAUUAGGCUCAGCCAGGAGCUUUCUCCAUCACUGGAAGACUUUGAGUAAAAAACUGGAAGCCUUUUCCUCUGAAAUACUGAAGAGGAGAUGCAAAUUUUGGGUCUGCUGCUGCAAAAUGGUCCAAGUUCAUCUCAGUUCUUUCUAAUUUGGGCCGUGAAGACACAACUGAUAUUGUAUGAAAGAAAUCUUAGGAAAAUAUAUUUCUUUGCCGCAUCACUAAUUCUCAAUCGAAAGUUGCAUCUUCUGACUGCUUUGAUCAGAGGAAUGGAACUUUGAAUGGUAAGAGAAAACACAUGGUGAGUAGGCUGUAGUCACAGCAUUUUGACUUAAUUGGCCAUUGACGUUAUAGAAUCUUGUUGACUCUUUUCCUUUGUCCAUUUCUCAGCCAACUCAGCUGUUUUGAAAACAAAACUCCAAUGUGGCUUUGAAAUAAAACUGCAUCAUAAACAAUUGGUAGGUGUUUUUCAAAGUGGUUUCACAGAAGUGCCACAGAGUAAGUAGGCGACCACCGAAGCUGCUAAAAUAUUUCCUGUCCUGACCAGGGUUGCGUUUCUGGAGAAU
rnacentral:lncRNA from 1 species